NNACGCACUCCUGGAGGGAGCAGUUCCUCGAGGCCAUCACCGUCAGCGCCGGUGCGUCACCGCGUCACCUCACACCCCGCCAUGGGGGGACACACAAUGUGGGGACACCCCAACGUGGGGACAACCCAAUGUGGGGACACCCAACCAUGGGGACACCCCAACAUGGGGACACCCCAACGUGGGGACACCCAACCAUGGGACACCAAAUAUAGGGACACAUCACCAUUGGGACACCCAACAUGGGGACACUCAGCAUGGGGACAUCCCAACGUGGGGACACCCCAACGUGGGGACACCCCAACCAUGGGGACACCCCAACCAUGGGGACACUCAACCAUGGGGACACCCCAACAUGGGGACACCCAACGUGGGGACACCCAACCAUGGGACACCCAAGAUGGGGACACUCAACAUGGGGACACCCAACAUGGGGACACCCCAACCAUGGGGACACCCAACCAUGGGGACACCCCAAUAUGGGGACACCCAACAUGGGGACACUCAACAUGGGGACACAUCACCAUGGGGACACUCCAACGUGGGGACACCCAACGUGGGGACACCCAACCAUGGGACACCAAAUAUAGGGACACAUCACCAUUGGGACACCCAACAUGGGGACACUCAACAUGGGGACACCCAACGUGGGGACGCCCAACAUGGGGACACCCAACCAUGGGGACACCCCAAUAUGGGGACACCCUACUAUGGGGACACCCAACCAUGGGGACACCCCAGUAUGGGGACACCCCAAUAUGGGGGCACAUCACCAUGGGGACACCCCAACGUGGGGACACCCAACAUGGGGACACUCAACAUGGGGACACCACAAUAUGGGGACACCCAACAUGGGGACACCCCAACGUGGGGACACCCAACCAUGGGGACACCCAACGUGGGGACACCCAACAUGGGGACACCCAACAUGGGGACACAUCACCAUGGGGACACCCCAACAUGGGGACACCCGACAUGGGGACAGCCAACCAUGGGGACACUCAACCAUGGGGACACCCCAAUAUGGGGACACCCCAACAUGGGGACA
rnacentral:lncRNA from 1 species